rnacentral:lncRNA from 1 species
GUAACUUAUCAGUUAAUAAUAAAUUGGAAUUGUUGGUUGAAUUGUUACUUGUAUGUAAUGAAACAUACUUCAGUUGAAAUUUGAUCUUUCUGUUAUUCAACCAACUGUUCUUGUUUUUUAUGGCAGUGAAUCCAAGUCCUUAGUAUUAUCAUUGCCAUGUUCGUUGAUAUGUUAAUUAGGGUUUUAUUGAAACAUUUUGAUUUGCCAUUUAGAAUUGCUUUCACAAUGUGUAUAUUUUGAAAUCUUCAUGUGCCAAUGUUAUUUGAGAUGAUUUUUUUGUUUUGCCAAUUAGUUUAGAUCAUUCCAUGGAUGUCUCUAACAAUGGUGUGUUUGUGUUGUGUUAUUAUCCGUGCUUUCUGUGUUUUGUGUCUUUGUAAUAUUUGUGUUUUUGUCCUUUUUUAAUAUAUUUGAUAAUAAUAAUAAUAUUUAAUGAUCUUUUAGUUUGUACUCACCGAGAGUUGGAAUACAUAUUAUAUAUGUAAGAAAGCAUACAUGCAUACCAAGUGGUCUCUUUAGUUCAAUUCAUGCUGUGGCUACUGCCUCAUACUUAUAAAUUUGACAUAUGAUGAUCCCAUACCUAUAUCUAUUGUAUUUUCACCUACUCUUACACGACUUCCACUUUUUCCUUCCUACUAUAAGGGUCACAUAAAAUUUCACUUAAUAUAUUCUAUGUUUGUUACUCUAGAUUCAGCCUCAUUUUGUUUAAUGUUGUUCACUUAUUAUUGUUAAUGAGAACUGUUUGAAAUUGAUGAUGAUGUUAUGUUGCUGUUCACACAGGGUUGGAAGGCAGGUGGUCAACAUCCCAUCAUUCAUGGUCAGAGUUGAUUCACAGAAGCACAUUGACUUCUCACUCACAAGUCCUCUUGGUGGUGGUCGUCCUGGUCGUGUGAAGCGAAGGAACCUCAAGGCUGCCGCUAAGAAGGCCGCUGGUGGUGAUGGAGAUGAGGAGGAUGAAGAUUAGAUUAUGAAUUUCUUUUGUUUAAAUCCUUGCACCAGCCUUUUUAUCCUUAGUAUAUUUUUUUUUUGUCUAUCAUGCAUGACUCUUGUAAUUUUUCGAUCCUUGUUUCUUGUGUGAGGAAAUCUUUGCUUGAGAGAUGUUGUUUUUUAACUUUCCUUUUCUCGAAUAUGAAGUUUUGCUCCAUUUCCUGUGAUAAUCUCUGGGAUUAGGCUUAAUGGUAUUUCUCAUAAUGUUUCAUAGCAGUUUGAAUGAAUCGAUAUAUUGUUUUUUGAUCUUUUGAUUGCAGACUUAAGUAAACCAUGUCGUUGAUUCAACUAUAUUUCGUAUGGUCUAUAAAAAAACUAUACUGUAGGUCACCGGUCCUGGCUUUAUGGUAACAUAUUCCUUGUGAACUUGAUUUGAAGAGUUUUUAUAAUUUUAUACAAUUUACCUUAAUGAUCUAUUGUUGGUGAUUUGUAGUCUAAUUCCUAAACAUUUAACACAAUGAAACUGUGGUUCAGGUGCAAGGCCUUGUUGAAUACACUUCCAAAUGUAGAUGAAUUUGUAAUGAUGGUAAUUCUGAAUUUGUGUUGCAAUUUUGUUGAUUCUUGCUCCAGUUGUGCAUGGUCUAUGUUCUGAUUCUGGCGGAUGGGUUGGCAGGUAAUUGAAUGCUGUACAAAUUUGCGCAAUAAAUUAAAAUACACGAUGGUUGGUAGAUAAUUGACUGUUCUAAGCAUCUGUUAAUUAUUAUUAUUAUUUUUCCAUCUGUUAAUUAAAAUCAUUUGAAACACUAGUGAUAAUCGUUCUCUCCUACUGCUAUGGUUCUCUUCAUCGGCAGCAGAUUUCACCAUAUCAAUGUAAUGCAACUAAGUUCUCUAUUUUCAAUAUGAAAUUUGUCGUUUAUACUACAAAUAUUAUUUCCAAAACAAUUUAGUCGUGUGUUCCACCACUCUCAAUUUGUAACUAUACAUACUAUUUAGUACAAACUCAUUGUUUUAAAAUGUGUUAAUUCGUUGGACUUCCAGCAUACACUUUUUGUAACAACUUUGUUAUGUAAUUUUCUGCAGUUUCAUUUCCGCCCCCGACUAAUCAAGAAAAAUCAUACUCGUUUUUUGUUUGAGUUGAAAUUUAGAUCGCCACUAUGGGUAGGUUUUGCAGUAUUAUUUCUGCCUCUGACUAAUCGAAAAAAGUCGCACCUAUUUUUUUGUUGGAGUUGAAAUUAUCUUUCUAUUCGCAGCAAUUUGUUUUCCUUGUCCCAACCCUAUUUUCAUUGAGAAAAUUAGCCAUUGAGAAAUAUAUAUAUACAAUGAGAACUAGCAUGCCUUAUAAAUAAUAUAUAUAUGUAUAAUAUUUGUCAUUGAGAAAUUAGUCAAAGUAGAGAUAAGAAAGAAAAAAAACAGCCAAAUAAUUAAUUGCAUUUAGCCUACCAAAUGUAGUGAAAUCCUAAUAAUAAUUCAAACAAUAGCAAAAUGUUAAUCACUCAACCUAAUCAUUCUUCAUCCCCACCAAUGAUUAUGGAAGAUUUUGGGGUUCAAAAGAAAUUCGCAAGGAUUAUAUGAUUAGAAAAGUUUAAGCAAUAAAAUCAUAAAUUAAAUAACUGAUUUUUAUAUAAAGAUUCAUUAGACAAUGAUUUUCUUCUAAAAUUUGAUGUAAUUCUUUGAAACACAUUUUUUAAGAUAAUCUUACUGAUAUUAGGGGUGUUCAAAAAAAUCAAAAAUUGAACCAAACUGUCAAACCGAACCGAACUGGUUUUGAACUGAACUGGUUUAAGAACCGAAUUGUUUUCGAACUGAUUUUGUAAAACUAAAACUGAACUGAAUUGGUUUUUCAAUUCAAAAAACCGAACUGAACCGGUUUUUAUUUCAAAAAAUUUGAACCGAAUUUUUUUUAGAAGUAAUUAGGGAUAAUUAUAUAAAUUUUGGCCUAUAUGAACAAAAAAAUUAAGUUAAAUCGGUUCGGUUCAAAAUAAUAAACCGGUGCACCACUUUUAUAAAUCGGUUCAGUUCGGUUCUUUGAACUGAAAACUGGUUCAGUUCAGUUUUUCCAAAUUGAAAACCAAUUUGAUUCAAUUUUCAAACGGUUCUAGUUCAGAACUGAACUUUGUCCACCCCUAAUUGAUAUAAUAUGAAAUAAAAUAUAAUCAUUUUAUUUAAAUAUCAGUGGUUGAUUUGAAUAGCGUAAAACUAUAUCUAAAAAAAUCAAAAAAAAAAUUUGAUUUUAAUUAAAUUGUUAAAUCUAUUAAACUAUUAAUUUAUUUUUUACAUCUUAGGAAACUCACAAUUAAAAUUUAGGUUAAAGAUAUGAGGAAUUGAUUAAUUUUUCUCAUGAUUUAUAUUUUUUUAAAAGCUCCGCCACAACACAUAUUCAUUCAACAAAUUUGCAUAACAUUAAUUUUGCUGAAUGAUAAAUCCGUCAAAAAUAUGUUGAAUACUAAAAAGGCACCUCUUACUAGACCAAAAAAUAAAACCACCUCUUACUACUAGUCUCGAAAAAAAAAAGGCACCCCAUCAAAACUAGGUUAGUCAAAUUACAAAUCAUUUUAUAAAAUUUUGUUUGGGGUCAGACACCAAAAGAUUUAUAUGAUUUGAUCGUACCAAGUCAUGUAAUCUAAAAAUUUCAUGGUCUUCCAUGGUUAGAUAGAUCAAAAACAUUAAUGAAAGAGAGGUGUUGAAUCAUAGUCACAGUUUUCAUAUUUGAUUUUGUUGAGAAUUGCAUUCAAAUUGCAUUUGUGUUGCAGUCGUAGCGAAACAACUCCACAUGGUCAUUUACAGAAAAAGACUCAGUCUUAUGAACACAAUAAAAAUAAGAGAACAUUAAUGACAAUUAAAACUAAGAAUGCAUCAAUGAAUUUUAUAGGAUCUGAAUUUCUCCCAAAAGUAUAGGAUGGAAUAACCCCAUAUUUCAAAAUUCAUCUCUUUAAAAAUUCAUGAUUGAUAAAUUUAUCUAGAAAUAAAAAAGAAACACCUCAACAUCCCAUCACAACACAGUUAUACACAAAGCAACCUAAUUGAAUUAUAACAAGAGAGUUUCAUUGUGAUGUGCCUUCAUCUACGACCCAAGCAUUAACUUUUGUCACUGUUUCACCAUGAAUACUAGGACUGCCUAUGACUACUAGCUUAUCUCCGCAUGCUCGAAACGCUACUCCCCAUCCAUUUACUGAGGUUACUCGCUCAAGAAGUCUUCCAAUAGUAACCCAUGAAUUUAUGUUUUUAACAUACCUUUUUACUUCUUGACUUGCAUAAUCAGCAACAUACAAUACAUUGUUUACAACUGCAACCAGAGGAGGUGCCUCACCAUUUGUUGGUGUCUCAAUCACACCAUCUCCUCCAUGUCGCGAAGGGCACAUGUUAGGUAUUUUCCGCCAUUUUCUUGUCUUCAAAUCAAACUCCUCACCACAUGUUAGUUGUGUUGUUUUGUCAACUCCAACCCCACCAAGAACAUAAAAUUUGUCAUCCAUAAAUACACUAGACCAUAUUUUCCUGGCUGUAUUAAGGUCUGGAAGAAUCUCCCAUGUUCCAAUAUCUGAGUUAUAAAGCUCAGCAGAGCUCAAAAUGUUGCCAUAUUGAUCACAACCACCACCUAAUAUUGCAAUUUCUUUGAGGCUAGCAGAACCAAAUAAUCACCUAGGAGUAUUCAUUUUCAUUCCAUUCAACCAUGAAUUUGUCAGAAUGCUAUAUUUAUAAAUGGCAGGACCCAUUAUUUCCCUUCCAAACACAAGAAGCUUUGUACCAACGCCCAGUGACUCCUUGUCAGAAAGCAUAAAGCAUUCAUUGGAAUUCAAUUUUGGCAAAUGCAUCAACCGACCAUUAUUAGGGUCAAAGGCCUCCCAUUUAAAGACAUCACAAGAAAAGUAAACUCAUUGUUCUAUUAUGCCCAUUGUUUUCCUAAUAUGACACAAUUCUCCAGAUCAGAUGAGUGAUUGAAAACUUCGAUUCAAUGCAGCAAUUGAUAAAUAAUCAGACCUGGAUAAACGAACCAAACAUUGGAUUGAAGUAUCACGAUCAAGCUGAUGAAUAAGAAGAUUCGAGUCACCUGUAUGAUUUUGGUCAUUCUUGUUAUUUUUCCCUUCUCUUUUCAUGGGAUCAUUUGGAACUUCACUUGAAUUUUUUGACAUAUUUUCUUCUAUUUCCAGUAGAAUCGUAUGAUUUUGAAAAUUUACUAAAAAACCAAAAUCAAGAAAAAUAAUUGGACAAUUUCCAUCAAUUAAAUAUUUUUAAUGAAUAUAUGAAUUAAAAUACAUCUAGAACCACGUACUAAAUCUUUUGGGAUAUAACAUAUUUACCCGUAAAUCAUAUAAAUUGAUUUGUGCAUCCAACCACUUAUACUAAUUCAUCAAGAACAAGAGUAAAAAUUGAAAUAGCAAUCACAAACAAGAUAUAUUAUCAUUAAAAUGCAUAUGUUCCUAAUUAGAUGGUUAAUUGUGACCUAGAAUAAGAGUUCAAAUAGAAAAAUUGGGAAUUUUACCGCAUAAACAAAAUUCAAUAAAACAAUGAUGACAUGCAUACUCAAAUUCAAGGAUCAAAACAUCUACAAUGUUAUCAUCUUGGGAAAAUUUUAAAAUAGAGAAAUAGUAUAUAAAAAAAAUUACAAACAGAUAAAUCGCAGAAACAACUUACAAAUUCAGAAUAAAUAAUUACGAUAUUAAAUCGAGUAUUUUUCAAUUUGGUGCACUUAUGGUUCUCUCUUACUCACACCUACAACUACUCUAUUAUCUGCGAGUGAAGAUUCUAUGACACUAAUUUUAGGUGUUAUGCUAAUUGUGUGAAGGCUUGUGGUGUCUGCGUCAAUAGUAUUGUUUAUUUGUAGCAACAAUAAUAAUAAUAAUAAUAAUAAUAAUAAUAAUAAUAAUAAUAAUAAUAAUAAUAAUAAUAAUAAUAAUAAUAAUAAUAAUAAUAAUAAUAAUAAUAAUAAUAAACAAUCAAAUAUAAUUAUUAUUAUUAUUGAAAAAAAAAGACAUUUGAGUCUUCUGUAGCUAUUAUUUAACUCACUCUUUGGGAUUGUAAUCCUGAAUGCACUCCAACAACCAAUGAGAUUACUUACAAAUGUGAAUUUGUUAUACUUCUAAAUUGUUCUUUUCUUUUUUUAACUUUUUUUUUCUCUCUCUCUUUCUUUCUUUCCACAAUAACUCCAACUUUAAAAACUUAUUUAAUAUUAUGUGUCUUUCUCUUUUCUUCUAUAUUGUUUAAAAAAAUGUGGUCUUAUUUGGGACCUAAAAAAACUGUGAGAUCUAAUUUAACUUAUUUUUAGUUUAGAAAAAAAUACCAAGACAAGUUAAUCUGUACUUCAACAAUCUUCCCAAAAGGUGAAGUAAAUCUUUAACAAGAACGUUUAUCUAAAAAAAUAAAAAACUUUAACAAGAAUUAUAAAUGGACAAUUUGGUCCGCGACAAUAAAUAAAAAUAAUAAUUGGUUUUUAUAAUAAAAGGUCUCAAAAAAAUGUCUUGUUAAAUAAAUCUUCUAAUUUUUUAUUUGUCUUCUUUAGCCUUCAAAUCACUACUAUCUAUUGUAGCUAUGAACCAGAUAACACAUAUUUAAUAUUUUUGGUGCAUUGUUGUUUGUUGUUACAAUUUAUUUUUGGAAAUGUUACAAAACUUUUUGAGGAUGGUCGAGUAUUGUAGAUUUUUUAAAAAUGUUCAACGUUAAAAUAUUUUUUUAAGAGAAAUGUUAAACUUAAUAUCUUGGAUAUUUUUUGUUUGUGGGUAUUUUGUAAUGGUUGAUCUUUAAAAAAAAAUAGAUAUACUUUUUUUAGAAUUAUUAAAUAUUGUUAACAUUUAAUUGAAUAAUAAUGAAAGAAAAAUAAUAAAAAUCUUGAAAAUAAGUUUUCUGAUAAAUACAUUUGUAUCAGAAAACUUAAAAAAUAAAUUUCAGAGUGUAAAUUAAGGGCCAAAAAAUUUGAAAAAGGUUUUUCAGUAAAAUAAAAAGAAUUGGUACUCACUUGUAUAUUAAAAAACUGAAAUGAUAUGAUGGUAAAAAAUAAUUUUUUUUAAUAUUUAUACUAUAAUAAAUAUGUCAUUUCAUCGCAUUUGUUGAGGUAGAUGUUAAAAUUUCUCUCUUUUAAAUUGCUCAAAAAUUGGAGUUAAGUUGUUAGUGUACUAUGAUAUAAGAUCUAAAAUUACUUGUAUAGUAAAUAAAAAAUUGAUAUGCACAUCCAAUUUAUGAUUUAAGCUCAUCAAGAACAAAAAUGAAAAUGAAAAUAUCAAUCGAGAUAUAGUGCCGUUAAUAUAGAUAUUUUCCAAAUCAGAUGCUUAGAUUCACAUUUGACCUAGAAUUGGAACUCAUAUAAAAAAAUUAGAAAGUUUAAUGAAUAAACAAAUUCAAUCAAAUAAUGACGAGAAACAUUUUCAUUUUUAGACUAUUUUUCUAUUUUAUUUUAUAUACCUUAAAUUUUUAAGAAAAAAGUUAUAAAGAGAAAUAGUAAAUAAAAAAUACAAAGAGAGAAGUAUGUGAAAAACUUACAUAUUUAGUCUAAAUAAUUAAGAUAUUGAAUCAAUUGUGUUUCAAUUUAGGACGACUUUAGUUCUCUCUCGCUCUCUACCUACAACUUUAUCAUUAUCUACGAGUAAAAAUUUUAUGUCAUUAAUGUUGGAUGUUGUAUUUUCUGUGAGAUAGUUUGUGUUGUCUGUGUCAAUAGUGUCGUUUAUUUAUAAUAAAAAAUAAUAAAUAAUCAAACAAAUAUAUUAUUAUUAAAAUAGGUCUCUAAGCUUUCUGCUGCUAUUAUGCAACUUGUUAUCUGGGAUUACAAUCCUAAGCAUACUACAUACAUGUGUUGUGAACUUGUUACACUGCUUAAUAGUUCAUCUUUUUUUCAAUUUAUUUUUUGUUUUGUUUCUUUUUCUUCUUUUUUUUUUUAUCAAUUUUUUGUUUUUGCUAUUUAUGUCAGUUUAUGUAUUGAUAGUAUAAACCAAAUUUCUAUUAUCAGUUAAUAAGAAUUAAUGAUAUUUUUUUCACCACAUAAUUGUAAUUUUCAUCCGUUAAUUUUAUAAUCAAUGACUCAUAGUAACUGUUAAUGUACAACCAUUUACACAUAUAAUAAAAUCCCCAUUAAAUCUUUAAUUCAAAUUAUGAAAUAAUUAAAUGUAAAAAUUACUAAUGUUUUUUUUCACUCAAAAUUACUAAUGACCUAGAAAAUUAAAAUAUAUUAUUUAUUAUUUUUUUAAAAUUUUAAUUGAAAAACUCAGUUUAUUAUGAUAGUUUAAUUUAUUUUUAUUUAACAAAAUACUGAAAUCCUUUAAAUGUAAAGUUUGACUACAAAAGUGAUCAGAGUUUUUUAAAAAAGCUAUUAAAUGAUGGAAGACAAAAGUAAUAUUAACGAACAUACAAAAUAUCAAUGUAUUAUGGGAAAGUGCAUUUAUUAUUUGACUUUUAUUUUUUUGAGAAAUAUUUUUUCUAUUGAUUUUGGAAAACUUUCGUAAAAAAAGCAAAACAGAACAUUUUUGGAAAACUUAUUCCAAAAACCGUAUUUGGAAAACUUUCUGUUACUUUAAUCGAAUAAUAAUAUUUUUUAUUUUUUAUUUUUUUUAAUAUUUCCCGUCUAUUACAAUGCAUAUUUAUUUAUUUUUCAUAUUUUAAAUGAAAAAACAAUUAUAUUUUCUAAAGCCAUAAAUAAAUUAAAUAAAUUGUGGCGACAUUGUAUCCGAAGUCAUUUAUCUUAUUUUAUGUAAUGCCUCUAUAUUUAUUUUUUCGGUUUAAUAUUUUAUUUUAUUAAAUUUGUACAAGUUAAUCUUUUUAUUUUAUUUUAUGAUAACACUGUUAUUAAUAAUUUUAUUUUUAAAAAUAGUUUCGAAGUUUGAGAAAUUUUGAAAAAGAUACGAACAUCUUCACCAUAUUCAUAAAAAUUAUAUAAUAAAAUAUAUCAAAGUUUGUGUAGUUCAAUAUUUUUUCUUUUAAAACUAUAGGGUCAAAAUUUUUAAAUUUAUAGAUUGUUGAAUAUUUAUAAUUGAAUACGUAUAAAAAAUAAUGAAUUUUUUUUAGUCUAUAAUUGAAAUAAUAAAUAUUACAAAAAAUUCAUAUAAAUAAUUAUAAAAUUGUAAAUUUAUAUUUAGGACACGAUGUUGAAGUUAUUGAUAUAAUAAAUCUUUUUAUCCUUAUAUUAAAAGGAUCUUUAAGGUAAGUCCAAGCACCACAUGUGCUGGAAACAAAACAUAAAUACAAAGAGUAGAAAAAAAAAAAAAAACCACAGUCUACAGAGUAAAAAAUUAAUGCAUAUGACCAGAUUAUCAGUCACCCUUGCUCAUAUUAGAUUGGAUCAAAAGCCCCUUUUAUCUUAACUGUAGUUAUAAAUUAUUAUAAGUUAAAGGGCCUAAUUUCUUAUUUAUUUUAAUUGAGAAAAAUUGUUAAAAAAAUUUCAAAUAUUCCCGGGACCUAAUAAAUAAAUCUAAAAUAAACUUGCAAGUAGUAAGUAGUAUAAGCAUACAUAAUUAUUUAGAUUAAUACUAGUUUUAAUUUCUUUAUUUUUUACAAUUCACAAGAUCAACUCUCCUAUUAUAAUUUUUUUAUUUUAAAUAACGAUGUGACAUGCUUUAUAUUAUGGGACAUAUGUUAUGAUGAUAUAUAAUUAUUAAUAACUAUGAAAUUGCAAAAAAAUCUUUAAUAUUUUAACUUUCAAUUUCAAUAAUUUUUCAUUUUUGUAAUUUAAUUAAUGACAUAUGAAUAAUUAAUACACGAUUCUAUAUCAUAAAAUUAUAUGACGCAUCAUUUAAAAUACAUUAAAUCGUCUUUUUUUAGUUUAAAGUAUGAGGAAGGAACUAAAAUUGUUGACUUUUACAAUAGGAAACCAAUUAUAUGAAUUGAUGAAAAUAAAGAGAUCAAAAUUGUAAUUAUGUUUAGUUGUUUUUUAUUUUUUACUCAAUAGACCUACAUGGCUACAUAGUCGAGGCAGUUGAUUAAACAAAAAGUUUGGGCAUCAAAUUUUUUAAUUAGAUGUUUAUAUCCACAGAUCUAGGGUGUGUACGAGUUGAGUUGGAUUAGUUUUGAUCGAAUUUAAUAGGAACCAAUCAAUUUUACUUGAAUUAGGUGAGUUAUUAACUUGUGAGUUUUACAUCAAACUUGAACCAAAACACUUUAAUUAAGAGCGGAUGGGUUGGAUUAACUUCGCGAUCAUAAAAAAAAAUUUAUUUUAAAAAAUAUAAUUAAAUUUAAAUAAUUGAAUAUCAUAGAGAUCAUAAAAUUCUAUUAGAAUAUUUUAUUUAAUACUUAAAAUACAUGAACAAACAUAACAAAAUACUUAAAUUAAUUAAAUUAACAACAAAUCCUUAAAUAAAAUUCAAUAACUAAAUUAUAAUUAUAUGUCAAUAAUAGUAAAAAUAAAUAAAAAUGUAUAUGUCAUGUCAAUUAGUUGAAUUUGCAGGUAUCCGAAAUCAAAAUAUCAAAUUCGUUUUCCGAACCGAACAUCAUUGAAUUUAAACAAGUUGAUUCAUAAUAGAACUAAAUUUGAACUCAUUGAGUCAAAAUAUACAUUGAAUUAAUUUGAUUGAACGAAUUUGCAGAUUUAUCGGUACUCAAGAACAUCCCUACACACAUUUGAUAUUUCAAACACACCAUUCAGUCUAUUAUAAGAGUAUACUACAUUCAUCCUAUAUGUAAUAUGUGGUUAAUUAUUGCACAAAAGUUAUAAAAAAAAAUUCACAUUAACUUUGUCAAUAAUAUUAUUAUUCUUUAAAAACUAUCCUUCAAUUAUUAAGAAUGAAAAACAUUUAAUCUUUUAACUAUUUAUAUUAAUCAAGGAUAGUGUUAUAAAAGAAAAAUAACUAACACUUUAAUCAAGGGUAUUUUUACAAGAGGGUCUUUCUUACAUAUAAGAACUAAUAUCGUGAAUAAAAAAAUUUAUAAUUUAAAUGACAAAUAUCAAUAUUAUUAAAUUAAAAAUUUUUCUUAGAUUAAAAUUCAGAACUUAACUUCAAGAUUUUUCCAACCUUAAACUAAGUCACAUUAAAUUUUAUUUAUAAAAAGAAAAAUUGUAAAAAGGAUUAAUAGUAACCCGUUGAUAAGUGGGCCUUUAAAAAACCCCGGAAGUAAAAAAAAAAAAGAGAAAAGCCCGGUUACAAAAAAUCAGAUAAUAAUAAGAGAAACAUAACCUUCUAACUCUAACUUUCAGCAAAACCCUAGGGCGGCGGCAACAAGAGCAACCGGCGGCAGCGGAAGGGAAGAACAUGGUGCACGUUUCCUUUUACCGAAACUGUGAGUAUCUCUCUAUCUCUUCUGUUACUCUGAUCUGAAAUUCAAGGAUUUGAAAUGAAAUCGAUACUCGAAUUGACAGAAAAGGUUUAAUUUUGAUUGAACAGAUGGGAAAACAUUCAAGAAGCCUCGUCGUCCAUACGAGAAGGAACGUUUGGAUGCUGAGUUGAAGCUUGUGGGAGAGUACGGUCUUCGGUGCAAAAGGGAGCUUUGGAGGGUACAGUACGCUCUUAGCCGUAUCCGUAACAAUGCAAGGAAUCUUCUUACAUUGGACGAGAAGAAUCCUCGUCGGAUCUUUGAGGGUGAAGCACUUUUAAGGAGAAUGUUUCGUUACGGUCUCCUCGAUGAAACUCAGAACAAGCUCGAUUAUGUUUUGGCUCUUACUGUUGAAAACUUUCUUGAGCGCCGCCUUCAGACUCUUGUCUUCAAAUCUGGAAUGGCUAAGUCUAUUCAUCAUGCUAGGGUUCUUAUUAGGCAAAGGCACAUUAGGUACCUCACUUUAUUAUUACUAUUAUUAUUAUUCAAUUUAGUUAUGAAUUAUGCAUUCACUGUUGAGAAUAUUCCUAAUCUUCCAAUGAAAUUACUAAAUGUUGUUGUGUAAUGUAGAUGAUGUUUAGAUCAUUGGAUGUUUCUAACAAUUUUAGAUUUGCUUCUUGCUAUUCUCUAUGCUUUCCGUGUCUUGUGCCUUUUGAAUUGUGUUUUGGUGUAUUUAAUUUACAUUGGUGCUAGUUUAACCUUGUUUUCCAUUUACACUAAAAUAGGUUAUUUGAAACCUAUUAGGAUAUAUAAGGUUGGGUUAGUGGCUGGGAUGGGUGAGCUAAUGAGUGGUGUGAUAAGGAGAUUAAUGGUUUGAUUCCCAACCUCAGCGUAAUUCUAACAAUUACUAACAUAUCAUUGGCUGUUUCAAAAAAAAUACUGUAGAAAAAGGGGUUGAACUAGCUAAAGUCUUUAAUUUAUUUGAAAAUAAUGUUCAAUUCUAUUAGUUCAUACCCACUAAGUAUCAUUGGAUGUUUCCAAUAAAAAAACUGGAAACAGGGGUGAAACUAGCAAAAGUAUUUAAUGUAUUUGAUAAUAAUGUUCAAUGAUCUUUUUGUUCUACCAAGGCUUUGCUUGGUCUCUUUAGUUUAAUUCAUGUUUUGUGACUACAGCCUCAUACUUGCUUAUAACUUGUACCUUUGAUGAUCUGAUACCUAUAGCUAAUGUAUUUUCGACUCCUCUUUGGCGACUUCCCCUUUUUCCUUGCUGCUAUUGGGGUACUAAAUAUAUUCUAUGUUGUUCACUGAUUGUUAUGUUAUUCUAUGUUGUUACUCUGGAUGAAGCCUUGUUUUAUAUAUUUUGAUAUGCUUGUGAGUUUCCCUAGUUUAUUUAUUUAUUAUUAUCAGUGGAAUAUAUUUGUAAUUGAUUAUAAUGUUAUUUUGUGGUUGACACAGGGUUGGAAGGCAGGUGGUCAACAUCCCAUCGUUCAUGGUGAGAGUUGAUUCACAGAAGCACAUUGACUUCUCACUCACAAGUCCUCUUGGUGGUGGUCGUCCUGGUCGCGUGAAGCGAAGGAACCUCAAGGCUGCUGCUAAGAAGGCUGCUGGUGGUGAUGGAGAUGAGGAGGAUGAAGAUUAGAUUAUGAAUUUCUUUUGUUUAGAUCCUUCUACCAACCUUUUUAUCUGUCGUAGAUUUUUUUUGUCUAUCAUAUGCAUGACUCGUGUAAUUUUUCUAUCCUUGUUUCUCGUGUGAGGAAUUAUAUCCUGAGAUAUGUUGUUUUUUAAACUUUCCUUUUCCCAAAUAUGAAGUUUUGCCGCAAUA